rnacentral:rRNA from 1 species
GGGGAAUAUUGCACAAUGGGCGCAAGCCUGAUGCAGCGACGCCGCGUGGGGGAUGACGGCCUUCGGGUUGUAAACCUCUUUCAGUAGGGACGAAGCGUAAGUGACGGUACCUAUAGAAGAAGCACCGGCCAACUACGUGCCAGCAGCCGCGGUAAUACGUAGGGUGCGAGCGUUGUCCGGAAUUACUGGGCGUAAAGAGCUCGUAGGUGGUUUGUCGCGUUGUUCGUGAAAACUCACAGCUUAACUGUGGGCGUGCGGGCGAUACGGGCAGACUAGAGUACUGCAGGGGAGACUGGAAUUCCUGGUGUAGCGGUGGAAUGCGCAGAUAUCAGGAGGAACACCGGUGGCGAAGGCGGGUCUCUGGGCAGUAACUGACGCUGAGGAGCGAAAGCGUGGGGAGCGAAC